UAUCUCUGUAGAGUCUGCAUAUCAAUAAGCGGAGGAAAAGAAACUAACAAGGAUUCCCCUAGUAACGGCGAGUGAAGCGGGAAGAGCUCAAAUUUGAAAUCUUCAAGGUUCUGACCUUGACGAAUUGUAGUUUAAAGAAGUGUUUUCGGUUAGAGGAGUAGUAAAAGUUCUUUGGAAUAGGACAUCAUAGAGGGUGAGAAUCCCGUAUUUGACUAUUCUUUCUAGCUUUGUGAUACACUUUCAAAGAGUCGGAUUGUUUGGGAAUGCAGUCCAAAAUGGGUGGUAAAUUUCAUCUAAAGCUAAAUAUUGGCGAGAGACCGAUAGCGAACAAGUACCGUGAGGGAAAGAUGAAAAGAACUUUGAAAAGAGAGUUAGACAGUACGUGAAAUUGUCAAAAGGGAAGCGUUUGACACCAGUGUUGUUUUUCCGAAAAUCAAUUAAAAAUUGAUUCAUGCCAGGUUGUAUUGACCUUAUCAGCUUGCAAUUUGGUUUUGGGUCUCUUUUUGAUGCACUUUUCGGUUAACAAGUCAACAUCAAUUUCCUUUGCUGUAAAGAGGUAAGAGGAGGGUGGCUUCAAUUUCGGUUGAAGUGUUUAUAGCCUUUUAUCUCUGCAGUCGGGGAGAUUGAGGUCUGCAGCGUAGAUCCUUCGGGGCUAGAUACAUUAUGCUAAGUUAUAGCUUUUCAUAGACAACUUGUUGGCUAUGUUUAGUCAUGUAGCUUACUCGUAAGUGCUAUUUUACCUACGCUUAGGAUGUUGAGCGCAUGUCUCUCUC
rnacentral:rRNA from 1 species